GGUUUUUAGGGAAAUAUUUAGGCCCCAUUUGGUGGGCUGGACUGGACUUGAUAUUUUCAAUUAAAAUGGACAUGUAUCCUAGCCAUUGUUUGUUGAGCUUAAAUUAAUCUUGGAUUGGAUAUAUAUAGGCAUGGGAUCCAUGUCCCAAAUAACUAUGGCUCCAGAACCGAAGCCCAGAUGUGGGUUUAGAAUCUGAGUCUUUUCUAGAGACACGCCUCUUCUCUCUUAUCUCGGCGAGCACGCCUCCUCUCAUUAGUUUCUUCUCUUCUCUCUCUUCCGCUCUCUCUUCUCUCUUCCUCUCUUUCUGUCUUUGUGAUUUUCUCCUCUCUCUUUUUUUUUUUUUUUUCUAGAGCCCCCUUUCUUCUUCUGUUCUUCUAUUCAUCUUCUUCUCUGAUGCUAUCUCAUAUUUCAAGCAAUCUUCUCACUUCAAUCUCUCUUUUGGAAAUAAGAACAAGAAAAAUGGAAGGAAAAUGGUGGGUUUGAUGCAAAGACCAUUGGCUGUAAUAGGGUACUAAAAAUCCCAUCAUGACUCAUUGGUGUUGUCAAGACAUGGAGGUCUGAGAGCUUGAUCAUUGCCAUGGCAAAGUCUCGCGGGAACAAGUAGGCAUCAAAAGCAUAUGCUCAACGCAAUUCCAAGUUCCUUCCCCAGCCAUCAGCUGCUGGUCAGAGAAUUCAUGUACCUUGUAGAAGACUCUGACUGUUAUUGCAUGUUGAUCUCAUGAGGUGAAGGAAGUCAACAUUCAUGGCCACCACUGAAGUUAUAGAAACGGUUUUCGAAGAAUCUGCAUUGUAUCACUCCAAUGCUGUGAGAAAGAGCAGACAGCUACAAAGCAAUGAGCAACUUUAACAAAUAUUCAUAUCAGUCAGACAUCCAGUUUGGGAUAUUACCGUACAAAACCAGCUGGUGCCCGGAUACCAGUUAUAAAUCUACCAGACAAACUGUGUUCCAAUUGAACAGAAUUAACUACAUUUCUUUCUUUCUUUGGAACAGAAUUAACUGCAUUUCUACUGUAAUCAUUAAAGAUGACGAAAUCCUCCAGAUAACCUGAGAUCAGAAAAGGGAAAGAAAAAAAAAUAGAGUUUCAAUCUUAUGUUU